GAAGGGUCGCCGUAGAGUGUGCUCCUGCCUCAAGAUUUCUCGCGGGGAGUCCGAGAAGUGUACGGGUGCAGACACGUGUGCAACCUGCCUUUAUCAGGGGGAUAGCCUUUCGAAAGGAAGAUUAAUACCCCAUAAUAUAUUGAUUGGCAUCAAUUAAUAUUGAAAACUCCGGUGGAUAGAGAUGGGCACGCGCAAGAUUAGAUAGUUGGUAGGGUAACGGCCUACCAAGUCAAUGAUCUUUAGGGGGCCUGAGAGGGUGAUCCCCCACACUGGUACUGAGACACGGACCAGACUCCUACGGGAGGCAGCAGUGAGGAAUAUUGGACAAUGGGUGAGAGCCUGAUCCAGCCAUCCCGCGUGAAGGACGACGGCCCUAUGGGUUGUAAACUUCUUUUGUAUAGGGAUAAACCUUUCCACGUGUGGAAAGCUGAAGGUACUAUACGAAUAAGCACCGGCUAACUCCGUGCCAGCAGCCGCGGUAAUACGGAGGGUGCAAGCGUUAUCCGGAUUUAUUGGGUUUAAAGGGUCCGUAGGCGGAUCUGUAAGUCAGUGGUGAAAUCUCAUAGCUUAACUAUGAAACUGCCAUUGAUACUGCAGGUCUUGAGUAAAGUAGAAGUGGCUGGAAUAAGUAGUGUAGCGGUGAAAUGCAUAGAUAUUACUUAGAACACCAAUUGCGAAGGCAGGUCACUAUGUUUUAACUGACGCUGAUGGACGAAAGCGUGGGGAGCGAACAGGAUUAGAUACCCUGGUAGUCCACGCCGUAAACGAUGCUAACUCGUUUUUGGGUCUUCGGAUUCAGAGACUAAGCGAAAGUGAUAAGUUAGCCACCUGGGGAGUACGUUCGCAAGAAUGAAACUCAAAGGAAUUGACGGGGGCCCGCACAAGCGGUGGAUUAUGUGGUUUAAUUCGAUGAUACGCGAGGAACCUUACCAAGGCUUAAAUGGGGAUUGACAGGUUUAGAAAUAGACUUUUCUUCGGACAAUUUUCAAGGUGCUGCAUGGGUUGUCGUCAGCUCGUGCCGUGAGGUGUUAAGUUUAAGUCCUGCACGGAGCGCAACCCCUGUCACUAGUUGCCAUCAUUCAGUUUGGGACCUCUAGUGAAGACUGCUACGCAAGUAGAGAGUAGGUGGGAUGACGUCGAUCAUCCACGGACCGUAAGUGCUUUGGGCCACCACACGUUAAUACAA
rnacentral:rRNA from 1 species